rnacentral:rRNA from 1 species
CCUACGGGAGGCAGCAGUGGGGAAUCUUGCGCAAUGGGCGAAAGCCUGACGCAGCCAUGCCGCGUGAAUGAUGAAGGUCUUAGGAUUGUAAAAUUCUUUCACCGGGGACGAUAAUGACGGUACCCGGAGAAGAAGCCCCGGCUAACUUCGUGCCAGCAGCCGCGGUAAUACGAAGGGGGCUAGCGUUGCUCGGAAUUACUGGGCGUAAAGGGGAGCGUAGGCGGAUAGUUUAGUCAGAGGUGAAAGCCCAGGGCUCAACCUUGGAAUUGCCUUUGAUACUGGCUAUCUUGAGUACGGAAGAGGUAUGUGGAACUCCGAAGUGUAGAGGUGAAAUUCGUAGAUAUUCGGAAGAACACCAAGUGGCGAAGGCGACAUACUGGUCCGUUACUGACGCUGAGGCUCGAAAGCGUGGGGAGCAAACAGGAUUAGAUACCCUGGUAGUCCACGCUGUAAACGAUAGAGUGCUAGUUGUCGGCAUGCAUGCAUGUCGGUGACGCAGCUAACGCAUUAAGCACUCCGCCUGGGGAGUACGGUCGCAAGAUUAAAACUCAAAAUGAAAUUGAGG